rnacentral:rRNA from 1 species
UACGUAGGGGCCAAGCGUUGUCCGGAUUUAUUGGGCGUAAAGAGCUCGUAGGCGGUUGGGUAAGUCGGGUGUGAAAACUCCAGGCUCAACUUGGAGAUGCCACCCGAUACCGCUCUGACUUGAGUUCGGUAGGGGAGUGGGGAAUUCCUGGUGUAGCGGUGAAAUGCGCAGAUAUCAGGAGGAACACCGGUGGCGAAGGCGCCACUCUGGGCCGAAACUGACGCUGAGGAGCGAAAGCGUGGGUAGCAAACAGG